UAAAAAUAAGGGAAGAAAAUCAGUGAA
rnacentral:piRNA from 1 species